rnacentral:rRNA from 1 species
AACGAACGCUGGCGGCAGGCUUCAUACAUGCAAGUCGAACGGGUGUAGCAAUACAUCAGUGGCGCACGGGUGCGUAACGCGUGGGAAUAUGCCCUUUGGUACGGGACAACAUCGGGAAACUGAUGCUAAUACCGUAUAAUAUCUGCGGAUCAAAGAUUUAUCGCCAAAGGAUUAGCCCGCGUUGGAUUAGGUAGUUGGUGAGGUAAAGGCUCACCAAGCCGACGAUCCAUAGCUGGUCUGAGAGGAUGAUCAGCCACACUGGGACUGAGACACGGCCCAGACUCCUACGGGAGGCAGCAGUAAGGAAUAUUGGACAAUGGAGGAAACUACUGAUCCAGCCAUGCCGCGUGAGUGAAGAAGGCCUCGUG